rnacentral:lncRNA from 1 species
CAGUACCCUUCAAUGUCAAAGCCCAGAAAGCUUGUGUGCGUUGGGGGGUUUGAUCAUGGCCUCCUCGCCGCUGUUGCCCCCCGCAGCUUUCUCUAUAGCCACUGUUUCCACCACGCAUAAUUGCCAGUUCACAAAGCAUGGCAUGAUGUCGAAUUGUUGACGCCGAAGCGGCCGCAGCAGGAUGUGUGCUCGAUGGCUUCUGCUCCGUGCGCCGUGCUUCUCCCCCUCUGCGACGCUGCGACUGCGAGCAAGCCUACUGCCAAAAGCUCAUCAUGGUAAUUAUUUGUACGUCUCUUGCGGCAGGGAUUGACAAUCUCCGCAACUUUUGUUGGGAGAUUUUCUUUUUUUUUUUGUUCGCCUUUUCCAAAUCCCAUCGUUAUGUUAUUUUAUAGUGCUUCGGUGAGAAUAUGAGAUUUCACAUGCAGUGGCGGACCAGGUUUCAAGCCUAAAUGUUGUGUUGUUUAGAUCACAGGAGCUAAAACAAAAAGAUACUGAAGUUUAGUCUCUUUAGAUCUAAAAAGAUCCAAACAGUAAGAGCUAAAAGUGACUAAAAUGAUAAAAAUAUCAAUUUAGUCAUUUUUAGCUUCUCAUAUUUGGUUCUUUAGAUUAUAAGUGACUAAAAUUUAGUCAGUUUUGAUUUAGCUACUGAGAUCCAAAUAUGCCCUAAAUGUAGGGAGGCUGGAGCACCAGACCCCUUUAGAUCCGCCCCUGUUCACAUGGAGUGCUGCUUCUUUUCAGAGUUUUCAUGCACUCUAUGGGUCAGAAUGUAUUGCUGUUACAAAAGGUCGUUUUUUUUUUUUGCACUCUUUUGACUAGGAAAUCAGUGGUCCCUUUUUGGAGCACCUUUCCCUCUAUCCGCUAGUCCUACUGCACACGCGCGGUUGCUCAGAAUCACGCGGUGGGCGCGCCCGCGCCGGAUGUACAUGUCCUCCUGAGAGACCCGCUUCAUCCUCCACCUCAAUCAUGCCAUGCCAUGCAUGCUGCUGGAGCUAAGGUGCUCUACUCUAGUAGCUCUGGCUGCUCUCCUCCCUCCUCUGAUCUCGCAAGGAAAUUGACAGGGCGAGAAAAAGAACAGGGAUGUCGUCUGAAGCAUCAUCCUAUGGUGAAUGCACGCGUUGUUUGUGGCUCUCAUUUCGUCCCUAUUGCUUGAGCAUGCUUUGUUCUUACUCGUCCUAGCUAGGAGCGAUCAUGGCAUUCCGGAUGGAGGCCUGGUUUGGUUGCACGGGAGGAUGCUAUGCUAUGCUAGCUGCGUGCUCUGUCUGUAGUCUCGAGGAGCCUGGAGGCUCCCCAGCGAGCACAGGGACUGCUUGCAUCCAAAACAAAAAAGGCCUAUCUCGCCUAUAUAUUCUCUAGUCGCUCCGAAGGGCGAAAUGUAGUAGCGAUUUUUGGGAAAAGAGAAUCUCCUCAGUUGAGGAUAUUCUUUGGAGCUGUCGAUGUCAGCAGUAGCGAGUACAUAUACUAGUAGUACUACACAGGAACAACACCAGCUAGCAGUUGGCGCUCUACCGCCCCUACAUUUGCCACCUUUUCCUGACUUGUGCUCCAUGGAAUCGGAAUAAAAAAAAAGGGGGGUUUGCAGUUUGUGGACUUUGGCUCGAACCAAAACCUGGUCUUGUCAAGUAAGGUCUUGAUCCCUACUCCUAGAAAGCCAGUCACCUUUGACAUGAUCAAACGAAAGGGGAGCUACGGGGGGCAAGAAUCUCACUUUUUCCUGUUCUUUGGUGUUCAAGCAGCCUGAAGCUGGAAAGCAACAGCACGGCAAUGCCACAAUGGUACUACUACUCUGGAUCUGAAAGAGGGAGGCUGCCUGGUGACUUUGCCACUUAGGCUGUCUCCAGCAACGUCCUCUAUAUUCAUCCUCUAUAUCUGUCCUUUACAGUCUCCUCUAAAAGAUUUUAUCCUCUAUAUCUCAUUUC